CCUANGGGGGGCAGCAGUAGGGAAUUUUGCGCAAUGGACGGAAGUCUGACGCAGCGACGCCGCGUGAGCGAUGAAGGUCUUCGGAUUGUAAAGCUCUGUUGAGUGAGAAGAAAACCCCCGGGAAUAAUACUCUCGGGAUUUGACGGUAUCACUCGAGGAAGCCCCGGCUAACUACGUGCCAGCAGCCGCGGUAAUACGUAGGGGGCUAGCGUUGUUCGGAAUUACUGGGCGUAAAGGGAGCGUAGGCGGAAUUGUAAGUUAAGAGUUAAAUUCACAGGCUUAACCUGUGGCCUGCUCUUAAUACUGCUUUUCUUGAGUAUGGGAGAGGGUGAUGGAAUUCCAGGUGUAGCGGUGGAAUGCGUAGAUAUCUGGAAGAACACCGGUUGCGAAGGCGGUCACCUGGCCCAAUACUGACGCUGAGGCUCGAAAGCUAGGGGAGCAAACAGGAUUAGAUACCCCGNUANUC
rnacentral:rRNA from 1 species